CCAGUGGUAGUUCAAUGGUAGAAUUUUCCCCUUCCAUGUGGAAGACCCAGGUUUAAUUCCUGGCCAAUGCA
rnacentral:tRNA from 1 species